rnacentral:rRNA from 1 species
UACGGAGGGUGCAAGCGUUGUUCGGAAUCAUUGCGCGUAAAGGACGUGUAGGCGGUGAGGUAAGUCAGAUGUGAAAGCCCUGGGCUCAACCCAGGAAGUGCAUUUGAAACUACCUGACUUGAGUACGGGAGAGGACGGGGGAAUUCCCGGUGUAGAGGUGAAAUUCGUAGAUAUCGGGAGGAAUACCGGUGGCGAAGGCGCCCGUCUGGACCGAUACUGACGAUGAGACGCGAAAGAGUGGGGAGCAAACAGG